ensembl:lncRNA
UGGUCUAUUUUUUGUUUUGUAAAUCUUUUUGUAUUGUGUGUUCCUGUGAGAGUGUGUGUGUACAUCUGUGUGUUUGUGUGGGUGGGUGUGUGCUCCUUGUUGUCAGUACAUGACUUCUUGUAAGAUGAGGCUAGCUAUUCAAGUAGCCCCUGUUAACAGAUAACAGAAGGGUUCGGUACAUAGCUUCUCAUUCAUUCCAGUCAGAAGUAGGCCAUACUGCUUUUGUGUGCAUCUGUAGGGGCUAUCAGCUCAGCACUCUUGCGUCUAUUUGUGCACAUACACAAACACAUGAGUACUGCGUGUACAAUGUAUACAUAAUGUAUAAGUGUGUGUUUUGUUUUAAUAGAAGGAUGGAUAUACAGCAUAUCGCUAUUUAACAGAGUUGUGUGUUUCUGUAGUGCUAGUGAAUGGCGUAGAUGUUCAUUUGACGUGGCUUUUUUGUGUGUCAGAAACAGGAGAUUUGAGGGGAGGGCUCAUCCUGAGAGCACCCAGCAGAAUGAACCUUUUCUUGCUUUUUUAAGACAUUGGCAACCAUUUCUGAUCUACGUUGAGGUGCCACAUGUAGUUACUAUGGACACUUGUUGUGAUGUUUACAUUUCCAGUCAUAUCAGUCGUAGGUUUUAUGUUUAUUUUUUCUCCUUUUUUUUCAAAAAAAUAAUAGCAAAACAUUAACCUAGAAGGUCCUGUGAGGGGAGUCAACAUAUCUCUGGAUCUCUCCAGGCAGAAACCCUUUCAUCCAGGUCACUAAAGUUAGUGCCAGAUUUCCAGGCAGAAACCCUUUCAUCCAGGUAACUAAAGUUAGUGCCACAUCUCGGGCUCCAUCUCAGGCUCCAUCUCGAGCUCCAUCUCGGGGACAUCCAGUUUUUUGGGCCGUCAUGUCCAGCAGUGCUAGAAAAGACUUAAAGUGACUUGCGUGUGUGUGUGUGUAUAUGUGUGUGUGUGUGUGUGUGUGUGUGUGUGUGUGUGUGUGUGUGUGUGUGUGUGUGUGUGUGUGUGAGUCCAGCCCUGUCUUGUAUCCAGCAUUGUGUACAUAUGUGUGCGUUUACAGCUCUCAUUUUUCAUUCAGAAUCAAGACCAUGUCAUUUUUUUUCUUUUUUUUUAUAACAUGCAUGUCACAAAGUCUUUUUUUUUUUUUUUUAAACAUUUUUUUUAUAGCUAACUUUAGUGAGAAGUCCACGUCAGGUGUUCUUGUCGUUUCCAUUUGUCCUUUCUUCAUUGCUUUCAUACAUUCGUUAUCCUGACUUUAUAAGAGACGAGAAGACAAAACUAGUGGUCAUGCUGUGUGUGGCCUCUGUCCAUAACCUGUACAUUGAUCAUUCUGUUCCUGAUGAGUCUGUACUUCCUCACCCGAGCGUGGGGGGGCGAGAUGCAGUAUUUUUUCAUAAAGGUGAAAUGAUGAAAUGUACUGUGUACAUUUGAACCAAAUAGACAUACUGUAACACGCAUACACAGGAAAACGAGAAAGAUCGCCCAGGGGGUUAACCCGUGCAGAAUAGCCCUGUGUCGACGGUCCGACGGCUGCAUUCAGCUCAGUGUCAGCUCUGUGAUGCGAGACAGUGCGGCUAUCGCCAUCACUGUGCACCCAAACUGUGAUUGUUGUCCUUUUGUAGAGCUCCUGUCAGCGUCCAGUGAGAUGACCCUACGGGGGGGGGUGUUUACUGCUAAGCACAUUUGGCUCGGGGACCGCAAGCAAGCCAUAGAAACAAGCAAACAUACCAACCAACAAACCGAUCCUGAAAAAGCCACUCUGGUUGUCAGAGUGUUAGAGAGAAUGUGCUUGAUUACCUCACGGUGUAGGAGAGAUCAAAUUGACACUACAUCUAACUCUGGACCAACCCAUGAUUUUACACUCUAUUUGUAUAAGAUGUUAUGGCAGCAGAGCGUAAAGAAAAAAAAGAAAAACCUUUGUGUUCAAAAUCGAAAUCCUUUUAAAAAUAUUUUUUCUUAUUUCACCAUGAUGAUGUCACUACUUCGAUGUAUGUCUUUUGCAGCGUUUUUGUUAUUUUAAGUCAUCUUUGCAUUUUAAGAUCACGAAGAACAGAAAAAAGUAAAAUCUCUUUCAUACCAUUGUAACAUUUGUCGAGUUGAAAACAUGUUUAUCACUUAGUAUACGUAAUAUUUUUGUUUGUUUGUUCUUGAAGUAUUUUGUGCCUUCGCAAGCCUUGCCCUCAUACUUUUUAUGAAGCUUUUGUAUAUACUAGAUAUUCAAAACAUUAGAUUUCGUCGUUAAACUUGGAGAAGAAAAAAAAAAAAAAAAAGAAAACAAAAUAGUUCAAAAGAUAACAAACAACAUUAACAUUUAGUGUGGGUUUUGUUCUCUUGGUGUUACUGACCCAUUUUGGAUUAGGCAUUUUAGUGACUGACUGAAGUGCAUGUGACCAUCUCCUGAAACUGCUAUGCAGCUCAGUCGGAGUGAACCGUAAGUGGGAAGAAGAAGAAGAAGAAGUCUGUCUGUCUGUCAGAUCUGUAGUUGCCUUGGUGAGAUUGCUUGGCAUGGGGGAGAAGAAGGGAAGUGAGGAGGUGAAGUGGCGAUGCUCUGAUAUCUGUGAGAGGCUGGUGAAGUGGUCUGAUGUUUGUUUGAGGUGGGCACUUGAUACGUGGAGUCUGUGAACAGUUUGACCUCUGAAUACAAAUGAAAGUAGAAACUCUGCCCUGCCACCAGCAGAUUGUAUGCUCUUGUUGUGUGUAUGAGUGUGUGUGUGUAUGUGUAUUUGAGUGUCAUCAUGUUUUUGAAAUAUAUAUAUAUAUAUAUUUUUUCUUUUUUAUUUGGUUGUCAUUUGCUUGACGUGAAUUUGUCCAUCAUUUUGGACCUUAUGGAGGCAACGUUUACGCGUGAAUGUGUGUGGGCAUGUGUGAGUGUAUGUGUGUGUGUGUUUGUGUGUGUGUUUUUGUGUGUGUUAACCAUCAUGUGAACAACCAUGUGAACUAAUUAUUAAAUUUUACAUAUAAAUAUACAUGUAUUUUGCUUUAAUAUGAACAUUUGUAUACUCUUGCAAUUAUAUUUCUGUAAACUAUGCUGCUAUCUCUAUGAAUAAAGAUAGAUCUCACAUCUUCUCUCUCCUUCUUAAGUAAAGAUAGAUUAACGCAUAGACUCCCUAAAUUGUAGUUAAAUGUAUACUUUUAGUACCUCAUGGAAUCUCAGACAUUAGUUUUAUUUAGGAGCUC